GGGUGAGUAAUGUCUGGGAAACUGCCUGAUGGAGGGGGAUAACUACUGGAAACGGUAGCUAAUACCGCAUAACGUCGCAAGACCAAAGAGGGGGACCUUCGGGCCUCUUGCCAUCGGAUGUGCCCAGAUGGGAUUAGCUAGUAGGUGGGGUAACGGCUCACCUAGGCGACGAUCCCUAGCUGGUCUGAGAGGAUGACCAGCCACACUGGAACUGAGACACGGUCCAGACUCCUACGGGAGGCAGCAGUGGGGAAUAUUGCACAAUGGGCGCAAGCCUGAUGCAGCCAUGCCGCGUGUAUGAAGAAGGCCUUCGGGUUGUAAAGUACUUUCAGCGGGGAGGAAGGGAGUAAAGUUAAUACCUUUGCUCAUUGACGUUACCCGCAGAAGAAGCACCGGCUAACUCCGUGCCAGCAGCCGCGGUAAUACGGAGGGUGCAAGCGUUAAUCGGAAUUACUGGGCGUAAAGCGCACGCAGGCGGUUUGUUAAGUCAGAUGUGAAAUCCCCGGGCUCAACCUGGGAACUGCAUCUGAUACUGGCAAGCUUGAGUCUCGUAGAGGGGGGUAGAAUUCCAGGUGUAGCGGUGAAAUGCGUAGAGAUCUGGAGGAAUACCGGUGGCGAAGGCGGCCCCCUGGACGAAGACUGACGCUCAGGUGCGAAAGCGUGGGGAGCAAACAG
rnacentral:rRNA from 1 species